AAGUCGCGAGGCAGCACCCUGUUCGAAUGGCGCCUACCGUCGCUCGGGUGCGUCCCGCGUAUUCAACUUACCUUGUACUGGGGGAUAGCCUUUAGAAAUGAAGAUUAAUACCUCAUAGUAUUGAAUUUUGGCAUCAAGAUUUAAUUAAAGAUUUAUCGGUAAAAGAUGGCUAUGCGUCCUAUUAGCUAGAUGGUGAGGUAACGGCUCACCAUGGCAACGAUAGGUAGGGGUCCUGAGAGGGAGAUCCCCCACACUGGUACUGAGACACGGACCAGACUCCUACGGGAGGCAGCAGUGAGGAAUAUUGGGCAAUGGAGGCAACUCUGACCCAGCCAUGCCGCGUGCAGGAAUAAGGUCCUAUGGAUUGUAAACUGCUUUUAUA
rnacentral:rRNA from 1 species